rnacentral:rRNA from 1 species
UGGGGAAUAUUGCACAAUGGGCGAAAGCCUGAUGCAGCGACGCCGCGUGCGGGAUGAAGGCCUUCGGGUUGUAAACCGCUUUUAAUUGGGAGCAAGCGAGAGUGAGUGUACCUUUUGAAUAAGCACCGGCUAACUACGUGCCAGCAGCCGCGGUAAUACGUAGGGUGCAAGCGUUAUCCGGAAUUAUUGGGCGUAAAGAGCUCGUAGGCGGUUUGUCACGCCUGGUGUGAAAGUCCAUCGCUUAACGGUGGAUCUGCGCCGGGUACGGGCAGGCUAGAGUGCAGUAGGGGAGAUUGGAAUUCCCGGUGUAACGGUGGAAUGUGUAGAUAUCGGGAAGAACACCAAUGGCGAAGGCAGAUCUCUGGGCUGUUACUGACGCUGAGGAGCGAAAGCAUGGGGAGCGAACAGGAUUAGAUACCCGUGGUAGUCCAUGCCGUAAACGGUGGAUGCUGGAUGUGGGACCCUUCCACGGGUUCCGUGUCGGAGCUAACGCGUUAAGCAUCCCCGCCUGGGGGAGUACGGCCGCA